rnacentral:rRNA from 1 species
CCUACGGGAGGCAGCAGUAGGGAAUCUUCCACAAUGGGCGAAAGCCUGAUGGAGCAACGCCGCGUGGGUGAAGAAGGUCUUCUGAUCGUAAAACCCUGUUGUUAGAGAAGAAAGUGCGUGAGAGUAACUGUUCACGUUUCGACGGUAUCUAUCCAGAAAGCCACGGCUAACUACGUGCCAGCAGCCGCGGUAAUACGUAGGUGGCAAGCGUUAUCCGGAUUUAUUGGGCGUAAAGGGAACGCAGGCGGUCUUUUAAGUCUGAUGUGAAAGCCUUCGGCUUAACCGGAGUAGUGCAUUGGAAACUGGGAGACUUGAGUGCAGAAGAGGAGAGUGGAACUCCAUGUGUAGCGGUGAAAUGCGUAGAUAUAUGGAAGAACACCAGUGGCGAAGGCGGCUCUCUGGGCUGUAACUGACGCUGAGGUUCGAAAGCGUGGGUAGCAAACAGGAUUAGAUACCCUGGUAGUC